AGAGAGAUGUCACACUGCUUAAACAGGCUAACCAAUCUCCUCAGAAGAUGGGACUUCGACAGAAUACCUGAUGUCAAAGGCAUUUGGGCUGAAGACAUAUGUUCUAUUGGUCAAUGUGAGGACCCAAAAUUAGGCUGGGAGAUAAACAUGCAAACUGCAUGCCUCCCACGUGAAAAUGGUUUUAAAUACUAAGUAAAUUAAGAAGUCACACUGCUCUGGAAGCCAGCUUAUCCUUUUGGACAUGAGACAUUUUCACGGAGGACAAAUGUUAGUCAUGCCUAAUGCAAAAAAUUAACUGGAGACUUACAGAUGGCAAAAUACAGAUUCUUUGACAAUUGGAAAGAUCAUCUCCUGACAGCACCCUGACUACCUCAAAGAAGAUGAUGAGCAUCGAAGAAGCUCCAUAUGGAGAUGGUUUCAAAUAUGGCAGACCAGCCCCCUAGGCAAAGAAAAUGCCCUCACUUCACAACAAAGAGAAUUCUGCCCAAAAUCAGCAAACUCAAAUGCAGGCCAAACUGACUGCUGAACUCUGCCAAGACAGGACCAUUUGCUUACCUACUAUGGUUCCCAAUUUUGUCCUUAUGGGUUUUCUGUCUGUGGAAAUGUGUUAUCGAACUGGAGGAAGUUGAAAUCUUGCUUCCAGGAAAAUAGGGAGAUGACAAGAAAGGAAGUGGACUAAGGGUCAACGAGGAUGCAACUGUACAUAGGAAGAGAUGUGGAUAUGGAGGAUAAAGGAGAAAAAGUUAAAUAUAAAUGCAAGGAUAGUGCCUCAGAGCUCGCAUUCAGUGGGAGAUACCUUUGGGGAGAAACUAAAUAUUUUGUCUUCAUUUUCCUGGGACUCAUAAUUUGUCUCCUGGGUGUGAAUGAAAACUGAAAUGUGGGAAUAACCAUAUACCCAGCUGUGUUCUAGAACUCUCUCUUUUACUGAGAGUGGACAUUGUUGGUAAAAUUCUUUCCCUUGAGGAGAAGUAAACUAUAUCUUUCUACUUCUCUACUG